ACACCAAUGGUGAAGCGGUUAUCAUGCUUGCCUUCCAUUCAUCGGUCACGUGACCCCUUAUGUAGGGUUUCCGCUACACCGAUGCGGUAGCAAGCGGCAGGGGUUCGACUCCCCUUUGGUGUA